AUACGUAUGUCGCAAGCGUUAUCCGGAAUUAUUGGGCGUAAAGCGAGUCUAGGCGGCUUGUUAAGUCAGAUGUGAAAAUGCGGGGCUCAACUCCGUAUUGCGUUUGAAACUGGCAGGCUAGAGUACUGGAGAGGUGGGCGGAACUACAAGUGUAGAGGUGACAUUCGUAGAUAUUCGUAGGAAUGCCGAUAGUGAAGACAGCUCACUGGACAGAUACUGACGCUAAAGCUCGAAAGCGUGGGGAGCAAACAGGAUUAGAAACCCCGGUAGUCC
rnacentral:rRNA from 1 species